rnacentral:rRNA from 1 species
AUUGAACGCUGGCGGAAUGCUUUACACAUGCAAGUCGAACGGCAGCACGGACUUCGGUCUGGUGGCGAGUGGCGAACGGGUGAGUAAUACAUCGGAACGUGCCCAGUCGUGGGGGAUAACGUAGCGAAAGAUACGCUAAUACCGCAUACGAUCAAAGGAUGAAAGCGGGGGAUCGCAAGACCUCGCGCGAUUGGAGCGGCCGAUGGCAGAUUAGGUAGUUGGUGGGGUAAAGGCUCACCAAGCCGACGAUCUGUAGCUGGUCUGAGAGGACGACCAGCCACACUGGGACUGAGACACGGCCCAGACUCCUACGGGAGGCAGCAGUGGGGAAUUUUGGACAAUGGGCGCAAGCCUGAUCCAGCCAUUCCGCGUGCAGGAUGAAGGCCCUCGGGUUGUAAACUGCUUUUGUACGGAACGAAAAGGCUCUGGUUAAUACCUGGGGCUCAUGACGGUACCGUAAGAAUAAGCACCGGCUAACUACGUGCCAGCCGCCGCAGUAA